UGCCGAAGCUGUGGGAUUUUUAAUAAUCGGUAGGGGAGCGUUCUACCUUAGAUAGAAGCAUUAGCGAAAGCGGAUGUGGACGAAGUAGAAGUGAGAAUGUCGGCUUGAGUAGCGAAAACAUUGGUGAGAAUCCAAUGCCCCGAAAACCUAAGGUUUCCUCCGGAAGGCUCGUCCGCGGAGGGUGAGUCAGGACCUAAGGUGAGGCCGAAAGGCGUAGCCGAUGGACAACGGGU
rnacentral:rRNA from 1 species